UGGGGCGUGGCCAAGUGGUAAGGCAGCGGGUUUUGGUCCCGUUACUCGGAUGUUCGAAUCCUUCCAUCCCAG
rnacentral:tRNA from 1 species